CCGCCAGGUAAGAACGUUUAAUAUUCACGCUGCUGAUGUGAGAAAUGCUUUUCUUUAUUACGGCUGCAAAAUGAAACAUUUAUUAUUGUUAAUUUAUUACGUGUUAAUAAUAAUUUAUUAACACUGUCGUGUAAAAUAUGCUUAAACUAAUAUAAUGAAUAAAUGUGUUACUAAACUGAAAGUGAAAGUUUAUAUCUUGCACCAAAAACACGAUUCUUAUCUACAUUUUCGGCAUUUAGCAGACACUUUUAUCCAAAGCGACUCACAAUUAUGACCUGAACAUGAUUUUGAGCAGUUGAGGUUAAUGGUCUUGCUCAGGGGCCCAACAGUGGCAACUUAGCAGUGGUGGGGCUUGAACCGGCAACCUUCUGAUUACUAGUCCAGUACCUUAACCACUGAGCUAUCACUGCCCCUGAAGAUAAAAUUCUGGACUAUUAAUGUGCAUCUCCUUAUAUUCAGUGAUUCAUUUAUUUAUGUAACUAUUCAUUUGUUAGUUAUGAUGCUGUAUAUCACAGUGUUAUUAGAAAGAAACCAUGUAAACAGGAAACACUGAUCUAAAAGCACUGAUCUAAUGUAAAAGAAUAUUGCUGAACUGUGAUAAUAACAUGAAUUACAGCCCUAAGUGGAGAAAAAGACAUAUUUUGUUUAUACUGACGCCAUUUCUACCCAACAGUUACAUUCAUGUAAUAAACAAUGAACAAAAUUAUUAUUUUUUGUGGCAGAGUGGCGCAAAGGGUAGUGCUGUUGCGUCACAGCAAGAAAGUCCUGGGUUCGAUUUCUUAGCAGGCUGGGUGAGCAGGGGUCAGUGUGGGUUUCCAUCAGGUUCUCCGGGUUUUCUCUCACACACGCAAAAACAACUGGAGCUGCAAAAUUUACUCGUGUGUGUGUGUGUGUGUUCUGUGAUGGACUGGCGACCUGUCCAGGGUGUUUCCUGCCAUUUGCCCAGUGAAUUAGUAUUUUGCAUAGAAAAUAGGACAAUCUGAUUUUUUUGCUGUUCUCACUCUUUAACGGUUCUAACAGGCACAUCAGUUAUACAUCAAUAACAUCAAAUAAAUAAAAUAUUCUCAUAUUUAUAGCAACAGUAUGGUGAAGGGCCUUUCCUUUAUUUCUGUGCACAAACAGCCAUUUUCAAACAGUGUUUUAGUUUGUAAACCUAAUCACUCUUUUUUGUCUUCAACAUGCCGUGCCAACAUCUGAGGGCGUGUCAGGCUGUAGAGGAACAAGAACGUUCUCUUAUCACAAAUAGUUGAUCCAUACUGCCUGUACAUCUGUAACAGCUGCACAAAUCCUCACAGGUGAAGAUGGCGUCCCCCGCCGAACGGUUCCUGAAGGUCCACAGGAGUGAAAUCGUGGGCCGAGUGAAGAGCGUAAACGGUCUGGCUGAUUGUCUGCUUGAGAAGGAAGUGAUUUCUAAGGAAGCAUUGAAUGAGAUCAGUAGCCAGAAACCAGAAGAGGAGCAGAUGAGGACAGUUUAUAAGCAUCUGAACAGCAGUAAGGCCUAUGAAUUAACAUUAGAAUGGCUGAAGAGACACGAGUCUCAUGUGAUGGAAGAUCUGGCAGAAAAGACAGAGACUCCGGAACCGAGCCACUCGAGAGAAAAAAGACAGAGAAUCCAGAACCAUGAAGCCAUGGAUGAAACAGAUUGUGAUCUCCAAACAUCACCAGAUCUCAAGACCUUAUCCACCAUGGCCAAACUGGACGACUGGGUCUCUGAUCCUAAAAUCAGUGAAAAACUGGUUAAUGACCUGAAGGAGAAGCUUGCUCAGGGUGAAAUGGAGGGUUUGGAGGAUUAUCUGAAGGACAUAAAGCUGAAAAAGAGUCUGUGUCUCACUGCUAAAGAGAUCAACGAGAUCAGACAGAGAAAAGAUCUUCGUUCAUUUCUUACAGACGUUAAAGGAGCCAAAUUUCCUAAAAAUACACUUGACCACUUUUUUGAGAAGGUCAGAAGUAAGGCCUCAACAGCCAAGAAAAAGCCUGAACAGUACAGUAAUUACGACGACUCCAUAAACCAUAAUGCAGAUGAUUUGAACAGCAGUGGAUACGGAUCUUCAUGCAGCUCAAGUUUUAAUAGCAGAGUGUUUCCUCACACUGUGUUCCCAAAUGAGGACGUGUUCAUAUGUGAAGGUGUCACUGAUGUCAGUCACACACACAACAUGGAGGUCACGGAUUACGAGUCCAAAAGCGCAGACCUAGACUUCAAAGCGGACGUUCCACACCCAACAGAAAACGCAGAUCAGAUUCAGCAAGCUGUCAGAAGCAGUGGAGGAACCAGGGAAUUAAAAGAAAAGCAGGAAAUGGACGACACUGACUGUCCUCCUCAAACAUCCUCUCAAAACCUUUUCAAUGUUCCUCUGUUUGCCAAAAAGAGCAAGUUGUCCAGCUACAGUCCAAGCUACAGGACAAAGUCGAUACCUCAUUUGAAGAAAGAGCGGUGGUCUGGUUGUGGAAGGUUUGGAGCCAGAAGAUAAGCAGCAGAGCAGUUACAAUCAUGGAGAUGAUUUUGAUGAGCCGGAUGGACCACAAGGAAUGAUCAUUUUUCCAAAGCUUGAAGACGUUCCCCCUAGUACUUGGAGCCGAGACCUUCAACUACAGUCCGCAGAUGGUGGACGGCUAGAAAAACGCACGGACACACUAAGGAACACGGGUGAAGAGCUUAAGAAAGCCAACUGCUCCAACAUGUCUUCAUUAAAGAACCCAAAACCAAAAAGAGAGAAGAGGAGGAACGUGGAAGGACAGCCGAACAGAAGAAUCGAGCAGUACGGCACUGUGCUUUGUAACUGGUUAAUGAAUCAAUGCAGCGGCAGUGAGGAGGAGUUCAAGAAAUUAUUCGACCGUAUCUCAGUAAAACACGUAGUAGAACACAGCGAGUACCCGUUCUUCAUAGCUGAAAACAUCACAGUGUUUAAGAACCCACAAACUGGUGAAGAACAGAUCAUCGUCGUGAAGGAUGAGAAGAAGAACUCCACAGAGACCACAAGUCUGAUCCAUUAUCAGAUGUUUGUGUGUGACAUUCAGAAAACUGUCCUCUUAGGUUCUAAAGAGCCUAAAGAGAAGCAGAUCGGCUUUGAGGAGUCCGAGGUUCCUGUAAAUCGCUGCCUGAGGAGCAUCCUGGAGGUGUUCGCUCCUGCUCUCGCUGUGUUCAAAAAUAUUCAAAGAAAAGAAAGACUGGACUCGUAUCUGAAAACGAUCCAAGGGCGGAAAGAAAAUCCUCGUUAGUGUAUUUGUGGAGGAUCAGAGAACAGUACAUGGAACAGGAGUUUUGCCUAGGUUACAAACCCAAACUGUCAUCUUACGCUGGGAAAAUACGUCCAUUUGUUCAGAUAUAAUCCAAGAUUUUGAUUAUUUCUCAAUAUUUUGAGUCUUUAACGUUCACGGCUUCACACUGCAGCCCCGAUCAUGAAUGUUUUUUAAUCCAUUGUUUUGUUUCCACACUCGUCGACUGGCUGAUUAAGGACGUCUGUGCUGAAAAUACUCAGAAAAAAAAUAUUUACUGUUUUUUUAUUUCUUUUAUUGAUUUUUAAAACAAUACCUGCACAAAGCUGUAAAAUUUCUCCUAUUUUUGCAUAUUUGUCACACAGAAGUUUCAAAUCAAACUACUUUUAAUAUCAGACAGACUGAAAAAAUCAUUCCAACCUUCUGAGACCGCAUUCCAACAGAAGAACAUCGUAACAGGGUUUUUAAUCACACACGACUCCUACAUACAGGAGCAGCAGAAAGAAGAAAAGAAAUCUCAUUUUUUAUGUUUUUUUAGGUUUGACAGGGCAGUGGUAGCUCAGUAGUAAAGGUACUAGAUCAAAAGGUCACUGGUUUAAGCCCCACCACUGCCAAGCUGCCACUGUGUACUUUGGUGUCCUGCACAGAAAACUGAAGCUGAACGUUUUAAAGUUUAUGUUCCACUAAUUCAGUCACUGUAUAAGAUCAGCUGUUAAUAUUAAUAAAAUCCCAAGAAUAAAACUGAGCAUUUUAUCUUUUUUAUCACUCAUGUCAUGAUAUGAUUCCAGUAGUUUUCAGCAGUGUUGGACUUUGCCUCAUUAUGACGUCCACACACUUUAUUAUUCCAACCGCAGUGAGGGUCACAAGAACCUCGGUAAACUAACACAGAGCUCCACAAUCCAACCACCACAAAGGAUCCAGACUGACGAAGCUAUGGGUGCAAUAAGAUCCAGACUAAUGUAGCUAUGGCUGCACUAACUGAAAUCAUUCAGUGUGACAAACAUACAGUAACUGAGACUUUCAAACAGACGGGGAGCCAAAAGGUUCUUACAGCACUAUCUCAGGUCUGUAUCCACCAUGGCCAAACUGGACGAAUGGGUCUCUGAUCCCAAAAACAGCCAGAAUCUGAUUGAUGACCUGGAGAAGAAGCUCGAUCAAGGUGAAAUGAAGGCUCUGGAGGAUUAUCUGAAAAAUAAGAAGCUGAAAAAGAGUGUGUUUUUAUGCUGAUGACAUGGAUAAGAUUAAAAACAACGAUGAACUUGGGUGGUUCCUUGAUGUAAUGAACGACACUACAUUCCCUUUAAGUUUACUGGAUUUGUUUUUUCAGAGGAACACAGACUACAACCCGUCGAAUCAUUUACAGGCAUGUGAGGUGGGAAAAGAACCCCUUAGCCAGUAGUUCUGCACCUUCAGCUACGAACAAGGACAAUGAAAAGCUUAGAAGAAAGUGCAGGAGCGAGUUCUUGUGAAUUGGGCAAUGAAACAAUGUGAUGGGAGUGAGAAAGAGUUAAACAAGGUUCUUGAGAACAUCUCAAUUAGAAACAUGGUGGAAAACAAAGAGUACCCAUUUUUUGUAACUGAAAAUGUCAUGGUGUACAACAAACCACUAACUGAUGAGGAAGAAUCAGGAAGUAGGUUCUACAGCCAAGCACGUAGAGAACGUAAAAUUCUGGUCAUCACUGAUGAAAGGAGAAACUCGGUCAAAAUGAUGAAUCUGAUUCAUUAUCAGAUGUUUGUGAGCAACAUUCACACAACAGUCAUGUUAAGUACUAAAGAACCUAAAGAGCAGCACAUCAAGUAUAACGAGACUCUGGUUCCUACCAAUCUGUGUCUGAGGUGCAUUUUAGAGGUUUUCCUCCCCGCUCUGGCCGUCUUAAAAAAAAUGCAGAGAAAAGAGUUUGUUUUCACAGUUUAAGUUGUUUUUACACCUGAAAACAUGUAAUAAUAAACCUCAGUGAUCUCAGUUUAUCUCAUCAUCAUUCCCUCCACUCAUUUAUGUUUUACAGAAUAAAAGUUUAUUUCCUGGAUGUGACCUGAAGUAAAUUUUACUUUUAGUGAAGAUGUUCUCUACAUUAUUGUUUAUCACAUAUGUAACAUGAUUCAUGUGCACAAAUGAUAAAUGUGAUAUUUUCUUUUGUCUUCUUUCAAUAAAGUAAAGACACACCGCUCA